GAAGGGUUAGAAAUGUACUAAAUGUUUGAGCGGAGAUAAUUAAAAAUGGAAAAGGGGAUUUGUAACGGAAAAUGCACUAAUCUAGUGCCUAUUUAGAAAGAAAUCUCACGGUCGCACCUCCCAAAAAAAAAGAUAUCACCUCCAUCGUGACUUUUUUUGACAAGAAAGAAGCAGCUGCUCCCCUCCUUCUUCUUCAUUGAAACAAAGCCAUCUGCACACCCAUCAUCCAAGCUCGAAGAUCAGCCAAAACAACUUCGAAACAGCCACCUUUUAACCACAAAAAUUGUAGCCAUGAACUCUCCAAACCACCUUGAAAGCACUGCCUCGCAAACCUGAACAAAACCAACUUCAUUCUCCCACAAAUCAGCAGCCGAACCAGCAGCUAAAUCAGAUGCGAAUGACGAUUUCGACACCUGAAAUCAGUACGAAAACUAAUUAACGACGAGGUGUUGUGGUACGAUUGGGAGGUCGUCAAGGUCCGGUCCGUCGAGUUCGCCGUUGAGGUUGUGGCCGAAUAGAUGUUUGUGUUGAACUUGGCAGAAGUCCCACAUCGGUUGAGAACUUAAUUUGGGAGGAUUUCUCCUAUAAAAGAAGGUCUAAUGUUUAGGAUUUAAACACACCUCUCAUUGCUUUCUCAUUUGUUCAAGACAUUUGUAUCUUCUCUCUUUAGUACUAUUUUACUUGUAUUUUUG
rnacentral:lncRNA from 1 species